GUGCAUGCUUAGGCAGCACAUAUACUAAAAUUGAAUGAUACAGAGAAGAUUAGCAUGUCCCCUGUGCAAGGAUGACAUGCAACUUCCUGAAAUGUUCCACAUAAAU
rfam:Ictidomys tridecemlineatus contig049704, whole genome shotgun sequence.